ensembl:lncRNA
GGCAGAGGGCCAGGCAGGCAGGCCACCUAGCAGGCAUGUGGGCAAGCAGCCUGCCUCAGCCUCAGGCUGGGACUCAGGGCACGAGCCCCAGGCAUCAGUGGCAGGUAUAGACGGAGGUGGAUGGUGGAGGUGCUUCACCUCUGGGCCCAUGUGUCCAGGCAGAGAACCCAGCCUGGGAAAUAAAUGAGGCCCAGUGCCCAGAAUGAGAGUAAAAAAUGUGUGCAGGGCUGAGGAAUGUGACAAGAGCCCAUUUAUCCAACUGGACAGCGAGGCAGGAAAAGAACGAUGGCCACUUUCCAACGUCCUGGGCCAUGUAAUCCUGAGGGCUGGACACACCACUUCAGGGGCCAGAAAACUGAAGAAGACUAAUUCUAAUCACGUGAAUUAAAAAAGAAGAAAAGAAUAAGACAUCCUUUCUGAGCUGCUAUUGAUGAUCUGGGAGAGAUUAUUAUGAUGUCAAAUUAUCUUACCUUACCACUGACAAUUCUCGUAAAAGGAAGAAAAGAAAGACUGUCCUUGAAGUUUACUAACUCUUAGAAUAUCAAGCUUACUUCAUUCUCCAUAAGAUUAAUAACCAGUGCAGAAGCAAAACAGAAGAGUCUGAGUUCAGAACAUUUUUGUCUAACGGAGGGCGCAGGGACUCACGUUAUGCUUCAGGAUACCUUGUAGCCUUUCCUGUUUUAUUAGAGAAGAUAAUCCAGCUACAUUCUCAAGGUGGGGAAGUCAACACUGUGAGGUGCCUUGGACAGAGCGUGCUUCCUGUGCUGGGAGCUCGGGUGCCUGCAGGCGUGGGAUCCCUCUGGUGCACCCUCGGCAGCUCCCCACAUAGCCAAAGCAAUCUUGAGCAAGAGCAACAGAGCGGGAGGCAUCCUGUUUCCUGAUUUCUAACUGUAUGGCAAAGCUACAGUGAUGCAGUGUGGUACUGGCAUAAAAAUGGACAUACAUGUAGAUCAGUGGAACAGAAUAGCUACCCAGAAAUAAACCCAUGGACACACAGUCUACUAAUUUUCAAUAAAGGCACCAAAAAAUCAAAAUGGGAAAAGGAUGGUCUCUUCAAUAAACGGUUUUGGGAAAAGUGGAUAUCCAUGUGCAUUAGAAUAAGACUGACCCAGAUCUUAUAUCACACACAAAGAUCAACUCAGAGGAUUAAAGACUUAAAUGUGAGACUUAAACUAUAAAACUCCUAGAAGAAAACAGGAAAACAGCUUCUUGACACUGGUCUGGGCAAUGAUUUUUUGGAUAUGAUCCCAAAAGCACAGAUUAACAAAAGCAAAAAUAAACAAGUGAGACUGCAUCAAACAAAGCUUUUAUACAACAAAAGAAACAAUCAAUGAAAUGAAAAGGCAACCUAUGUGAUGGGAGAAAAUAUUUGUAAACUAUAUAUCUAAUGAGAUGAGUAUUCAAAAUAUACAAGGAACUGCUACAACUGAAUAGCAAACAAACCAACAAAAGUAAACUCAAUUAGUAAAUGGGCACAAGACCAAAAUAGAUAUUUCUUCAGUGAGGACAUAACAGUGGCCAACAGGUGCAGGAAAAGGUACUUAACAUCAGGAGUCAUUGGAGAAAUGCAAAUCAAAAUCGCAGUGGGACAUAUCUGAGAUGGUUAAUGUUGAGAGCCAACUUGAUUGGAUUGAAGGAUGCAAAGUAUUGUUCCUGGGUGUGUCUGUGAGGGUGUUGCCAGAGGAGAUUAACAUUUGAGUCAGUGAACUGGGUGAGGCAGAC